AUGGAUCCCCUCUAUCGUCCCGAAUUCCUCAUCCUUCUGCUGAAGCAGGAAGGACGUUCUCUCGAGGACCAUACCAGACAGUUUAUUCUAUUAGCUAAUGCCACCAGCUACCCGGACAACGCGCUCUGCACCUUCUACAACACCAGCCUGAACUCCAAAUGCAGAGCGUUGUCGUCCGAAGAUGGUCCUCGAGAGGAUUUCGCUGCAUUCGUGGAGUGGACCCUGGCGAGAAAUGGGUCACCUCUCACCGUCUGCCCCAUAGAGGACCUCGCCAGCCCCACUCCCGACCCAGAGACCAGCCAGCCACCAUCACGCCGCACGGAGCCAGAGCCCACCGCAGCCGCAGAGUCCGAGCCAUCCACUGACAGGGAGCCGGAUCUCGAGAGCGCGACUGACCAGGUGUGUGAGCCGGCAACACUGUGCAUCGUGGGAGUCCUCGUGGAGAUCGAGGGCGUGGAGGAAAGCCCUGCCCACACUCCUGCAACUGAGGGUGAGCUGUAUACAGUCUCUGAAAGUUAUAUGGAGCAAGUUCUGGAUCUGAUGGACUGGUCUAUGGAGGUAAUCCCUAAUAUUCCUGUUUCUCCGCUGGUUCCGUCCAGCCCUGAUUCCCCUGUAUACCCUCUCAAUCUCCCACUCCUACCUCCUCCAGUCAUUUUCUCUGCUCCAUUUCCGCUGGUUCCGCCCAGCCCUGAGUUUUCUGUUUCUCCGCUGGUUCUGCCCAGCCCUGAGUUUUCUGUUUCUCCACUGGUUCUGCCCAGCCCUGAGUUUUCUGUUUCUCCGCUGGUUCCGCCCAGCCCUGAGUUUCCUGUUUCUCCGCUGGUUCCGCCCAGCCCUGAGUUUUCUGUUUCUCCGCUGGUUCCGUCCAGCCCUGAGUUUCCUGUGUCUCCGCUGGUUCCGCCCAGCUCUGAAUCUUCUGUGUCUCCGCUGGUUCCGCCCAGCUCUAAAUCUUCUGUGUCUCCGCUGGUUCCGCCCAGCUCUGAAUUUUCUGUGUCUCCGCUGGUUCCGCCCAGCUCUGAAUCUUCUGUGUUUCCUGUAUUCCCUCCCAGCCUCCCUCUCCCGCCUCCUCCCAAACCUGCUGGUCCCUCUACUCCUCUUUCGCUGGUUCCGUCCAGUCCUGAUCCUCCUGUCCUUCCUCCCAUCCUUCUCCUCUCUCCUCCUCCUAGACCAGCCAGUUCCUCGUCAUCCCUGCUGGUGCCAGCCAGUCCCGCAGCUCACCCUCAGUCCGCGCCAUCGGGGCGCGGUGGUUCGCCGCUGGACUGCCAGUCUCCAGCUCCGCCUUGGCGUGUUAAGGCCCUGUCUCCGCCUCCAGCCUCCGAGCCCUGGACUCCUCCUCGGUCCUUCGACCCAGCGGCUCCGCCUUGGCUCUUAGCUCCCUCGUCUCCACCGUGGCCUGUCAUCCCACCUGCUCCACCGGGCUCCCUCGUCCCUCCGGCUCCACCUUGGUCAGUCGUCGACCAUCCGCCGCCUCGGGACUCCACUCCUCUGGUUCCACCUCGUCACUCCAUCCCUCCGGCUCUGUCAGGCUCCUCCUUCCCUCCGGUUCCACCUCCAUCCUCGGUCACUCCGGCUCCACAGCGGUCUGCCGGGACCCCGCCUCCACCUUGGUCGCCUGAGCCUUCAGCUCCACCUAGGCCCUCCGGAUCAUCGUCGUCACCCUGGCUCUGCGGCUGUGCUGCUCCAUCUUGGGCUCCUCACCCACCGGUGCAGUCUCCGCCUGUCGGCCCCCUGGUGUCGUCGACCCUUUCUUCAACAUGGCUCCUCCCGCCGUCGACUCCACCUUGGAUCUCAGUCCUGGCUGGUCUCUGGUGGACCAUCUGGCUCCUCCUGCUCCUGUCUCCUCCCUGGCUCCUUCCUCCGUCUCCUCCCUGGCUCCUCCUUCUGUGGUCCCUGUCUGCUGGCCCCCUCCUGGGAGUCCGUCCUCCACCGGAACCUCCUCCCAAGUUCCCACCCACGCCUCCCCCUGUUGUUUCUACGGUGCGAGGACGCACCUACCGGGAGGGGGGAGUACUGUCACACACCUGGACUCAUUUAGUGUGUUUUUGCCCGUGA
ensembl:lncRNA